GAUGAACGCUGGCGGCGUGCUUAACACAUGCAAGUCGAACGGAAAGGCUCCUGCUUGCAGGGGUACUCGAGUGGCGAACGGGUGAGUAACACGUGGGUGAUCUGCCCUGCACUUCGGGAUAAGCCUGGGAAACUGGGUCUAAUACCGGAUAGGACGAUGGUUUGGAUGCCAUUGUGGAAAGUUUUUCGGUGUGGGAUGAGCUCGCGGCCUAUCAGCUUGUUGGUGGGGUAAUGGCCUACCAAGGCGUCGACGGGUAGCCGGCCUGAGAGGGUGUACGGCCACAUUGGGACUGAGAUACGGCCCAGACUCCUACGGGAGGCAGCAGUGGGGAAUAUUGCACAAUGGGCGCAAGCCUGAUGCAGCGACGCCGCGUGGGGGAUGACGGCCUUCGGGUGGUAAACUCCUGUCGCUAGGGACGAAGAGCAAGUGACGGUACCUGGAGAAGAAGCACCGGCUAACUACGUG
rnacentral:rRNA from 1 species